UGCCACCCCUGUGAGCCAGAUCUCAGCCCAGCAGCCCAGAACUCAGCCCAGUGCUCCGGUACCACCCCAACCCCUCCCUGUCCCCAGUGCCACCCACCUGGUGCCUCAGGCCUCUGUCUGGCCUGGGGUACCAGGUGUCUGGGGACAGGCAGCACAGCAGCUCCCACCUGGGGGGCUGCCCCCAACCGUGGCUCAGCUGCCACCUGGGGGCUUGCCCCCAACUGCGGGGCUGCACUUACCAGUGCUGCAGCUGCUGCCUGGGGGGCUGCACCCACGGAUGGCUUCCCCCACUGCCCCUGCUCACUGCUGGGGACAUCCCCUGCUGGCAGGGACGCUGCUGCCCCAGCAGCCCAUGGGGCUGUGGCCUGGGGCCGUGCCCCAUGCAGAGCCCCCGCAGCCCGCAGGCACCUGCCUGCCACAGGCCCCCGGCCGCCCCGGCCCCCCGCCACUUCUUUUGCAGGUACCGGCACUGCAGCAGCUGCAGCAGGACUGCUGCACGGGGAGCACCUGCACCUUGCCUGCCAGCUGGGAGCCGCUGACGGAGCCCUUUCAAGACGCCGUGCUGCUCAUGGAGGACCAAGGGCACCCGACGUCUGCCACCAUCCACACACGGCUCCACUCACCUGCAGCGCUGCCACGCCUAAAUCAGGCGCAGGGACAACAAGCACAGGCACCCUGCAGGACACAGCAGACAUGGAUCAUCUGCUGGCAUGGAUCGACCACGAAGUCACAUCCGAGACGGCCAUUCAAGACGACAGCGCAGACUUUGACCAGCUGCUGACGUGGAUCAGCCAGGAAGAGACACCCAGCAGCAACAGACGUGAGGACGAUGUGGAAAUGGACAAUUUCCUCACCUGGAUUCUUGAAGCGACGAGUGCUCUGGAGGUCCCCCAGCACAACCAGGGCCUGCCUGCAGUCACAAGAGAGGGGACCAAAGAGAAUAAGAACAACACAGAGCACCCUGACUCCCCGGGGGCCAGCAGGGAGCUCAGCAAAGAGCCCGAUCCUGAAUCAGGGCUCCUCGCAAACCCGCUCUGGCAGCAGCCAGCAUCCCCUGAGGUCACCUCAUCUAUCUUACCGCCUGCCAGGAGGUAAGGCACCGUGAGGGUGGUUUGGGGGAGACCAAAAGACGUAGGUGGGACAUGGAGGUGAGAUAGAUGGGGCAUGAACUGGAUCUCGAGAGAGGGGUGAGAAGGCAAGGUGGAUCAUGGGGGCAGGGGCACAGGUCAAGGGCCAAGUCCAGCUCUGCAACCACAGCAACAUGUUGGGGACGCCGGCCUGCGGCUGGGGAUGGAGCAGAGCAAGACGGAAAAGGGGGGAACAUUCAGGAACCGAAACAGUCUCGAAAUGGGGCUUUCUCCAUAGCUCAGCCUGCAGCGCAGCCACACGACUAGGCAGGCCUCAGACUCUGAUCCUGCUGCUGGUGCUUGCAGGGUGCAGCCUGCGGCUCAGUCCUCUUCUGGCACUGGGACUGAAUGGCCUGUGUGUCGAGAUGGCAGUGAGCCUCUCCACUCCAGGCUGAGCCACUCAGCUCUCCCAGAAUUCCAUCCCCUUUCUCAUCCCUCCAUUCCCACGCAGAACUGACUGAGGAGGGGAGGGAUGGGUCCAAUGGUGGUGGCAGAUCUGGGACACUGCCCUUUCUGCUGCCCACAUUGCCCACAGGCAGGCAGGCAGAGGUCUAGCCAAGUGAAUGCAAGGCAUUUAAUCAUUGAACGUAGCAAACAGUCAAGAAAUGACAGUAUUCCCAACCAUUUCCCACCCUAACAAUCCUUUCUGAUCCCACCCCCAAACCCACGACCAUCACUUCUCCCUCUGCCAAAAACCUCCCAGCCCCCUGUUGUAAUCCAAGAAGAAUGGCAGCAGCCAUGGAUCAAGAGAAGGACUUGACAGAGCAGCAGCUGUGGAGCAGGAUAAAGAGCAAACCCGUGUUGGUGGUGGAUGCGACAGGCAGUGCCAGCAGGGCGUCCCCUGCUUCAAGGUGCACUUCCUCUGUCAACCCACCACACAUUCUCUCCUGCAUUCAGGCUCUGAAGGAUUUCUUCCAUUGUACUCCAUAUCGCAUGGCAGUGCAUGAUACAGUGCCCAAGUCGGAACA
ensembl:lncRNA